rnacentral:rRNA from 1 species
UGGGGAAUCUUGCGCUAAUGCGGGAAACCGUGACGCAGCGACGCCGCGUGGGGGAAGAAGGCCUUCGGGUUGUAAACCUCUUUCAGGAGGGACGAAGCUACUCGGGUUAAUAGCCCAGAGGGUGACGGUACCUCCAGAAGAAGCCCCGGCUAACUACGUGCCAGCAGCCGCGGUAAUACGUAGGGGGCAAGCGUUGUCCGGAUUUAUUGGGCGUAAAGAGCGUGUAGGCGGCCUGACAGGUCUGCUGUGAAAACUCGAGGCUCAACCUCGAGAUGUCGGCGGAAACCGUCUGGCUAGAGUCCGGAAGAGGAGAGUGGAAUUCCUGGUGUAGCGGUGAAAUGCGCAGAUAUCAGGAAGAACACCUAUGGCGAAGGCAGCUCUCUGGGACGGUACUGACGCUGAGACGCGAAAGCGUGGGGAGCGAACA